GUUUUACUUCUCCGUUGGCUUCGUACCCUCUGGGAAAGGGAAGGGCGUGAUUUGCUGAGGCUGUUCACCUAGAACAGGACAGAUGGCUGCCAUGGCCAGGGCUGGGCCAGUUCUAAACCAGGAGCCAGGAGCUUCAACCAGUUAUGUGCAGAAUAAGUGACCACCUCGGCUUCCAAGGAACACAGCACUGCUCUGCAGAACCCUGGAGAACAUCCCCAGAAUGCUGCACAGUGCUCUGCUUCAUUCCUAUCUUCCUAAACGCCUCACAGCCUGGAGGAUCACCAUUAGUUCCUUGAACAAACAAAACAUCCCUUUGGACAAACAAAUCAAAAUGCAGAAUAUCCAGCAAAGAACCUGAAAUGCAAGAAGAUGGCCAUUGGAUGAAUGAGCCUGGGUCUCUGAGUGACAUACUGGAGCAGAGCUCUUCCUCCUAGCUAAGUAAAAUUAGACUGGGAUUGAAGGAAAGAAACAAAUCUUUGCUUUGCUCAGUCACUGAGAUUUUUGGAGGAUGAUUUUGUAAAUGAACCCCUUGAAUUAUACAAAGUUACAUCUUGGAAAAGAAGUAAUGAGAACAAGCAGCACUUCUCAUAAUGUGAUCUCUAUGCUAAUUGUUAUGUUCCUUAGCUUUGUUAUUCAACCCCUGAUUUUUAAGAGUAUACCCAGGGUUGCCGGCACCUUGGCUCACUAGGCUAAUCCUCCACCUUGCAGCGCCGGCACACCGGGUUCUAGUCCCGGUCGGGGCACCAGAUUCUGUCCCGGUUGCCCCUCUUCCAGGCCAGCUCUCUGCUAUGGCCCGGGAGUGCAGUGGAGGAUGGCCCAAGUGCUUGGGCCCUGCACCCCAUGGGAGACCAGGAUAAGUACCUGGCUCCUGCCAUCGGAUCAGUGCGGUGUGCCGGCCACAGCGCGCCAGCCGUGGCGGCCAUUGGAGGGUGAACCAACGGCAAAAGGAAGACCUUUCUCUCUGUCUCUCUCUCUCUCUCACUGUCCACUCUGGCUGUCAAAAAAAAAAAAAAAAAAGAGUAUACCCAGGGGUCAUUCAUAUUUAGGGGGAAGAACAUUCAUUAUCCAAAUAAACAAGAUAUAUAUAUAUAUAUAUAUAUAUAUA